rnacentral:lncRNA from 1 species
AGGUGCUCUGGAUUGCACUCAUGGACCACUGGGAUCAUUGUGAAUCAUUGAACUCAGCUUUAAAAUUCAAUUCACUGAAGGCACCAGGACAAUUUGUUUGUUUCUGAUCAGCUAAUUCUGAGUUUUCUCAACCAAAACAGGAUGUUGAAUAUUGUCCUGUUGCUGAUUGGAAUGAUCAACCUUAAAAUAAACAAAGAUCCAUUGGACUGACUUGGAGCACCACCAGUCCUACCAGAAGUGGCUGGGUUCUAUUAUCUGUGCACUUGGGCUACAAGAAUGUCUUUUCGCAAAAUGGGAGAAAUACUGAAGAAAAAGAAAACUUGAUAUUUAGAGUAGGGGCUACUGUCAUGCAUCAAUCUACAUCAAAAGACCAGAGGCUUCCGGCCCUCCCCCGCUCACUGUCUGAAGCCUUCACCAGCCUCAGACCACUCUCAGCCAAAGGAAAUGUGCGGAAGUGUGUUUUUCACAGGAAUUAACUCUUGCCUCCAAACAGGCACCUCAAAUUGCCUCAGCGCCCUUACCUCAUUAAUGGUCCUGUUAUGCUUUCUUUUUUCUUUUUUUUUCUUUUUGUCCACAUCGGUGUUCUGUUUUGUUAUAACUUUGCAAAUUCAAUUAAUGUUUUGCAGGUAAAAGAGG